AUGUCCUGCAAGUCUUA
rnacentral:tRNA from 2 species